rnacentral:snRNA from 1 species
AGCUUUGUACAGUGGCAGUAUUGUAGCCAAGGAGGUCAAUCCGAGGCAUGAUUAUUGCCAGUUGAAAACUUUCCAGGUAGUCAUUAGAGAGAGAAAACAUUUGUUUUGUGUCAGAAACAUUUGAUAUUUAAAAUGCUUUGA